rnacentral:rRNA from 1 species
UGGGGAAUAUUGGACAAUGGGCGCAAGACUGAUCCAGACAUGCCGCGUGAGUGAUGAAGGGCGUAGGGUUGUAAAGCUAUUUCACCGGGGAAGAUAAUGACGGUAACGGGAGAAGAAGCAGAGGGGAACUUCGUGACAGCAGCGGAGGUAAUACGAAGGGGGCAAGCGUGGUUGGGAGUUAUUGGGCGUAAAGGGAACGUAGGCGGAGGAUUAAGUCAGGGGUGAAAUCCCGGGGCUCAACCCCGAAACUGCCUUUGAUACUGGUGGUCUUGAGUGCGGGAGGGGUGAGUGGAAUUCCGGGUGUAGAGGUGAAAUUCGUAGAUAUCGGGAGGAACACCAGUGGCGAAGGCGGCUCACUGGAUCGAUACUGACGCUGAGGUGCGAAAGCGGGGGGAGCAAACAGG